UACAUGGGGUGCAAACGUUGCUCGGAAUUACUGGGCGUAAAGCGUGUGUAGGCGGUCCUCUAAGUCGGGUGUGAAAGCCCUGGGCUCAACCCAGGAAGUGCACUCGAAACUGGAGGGCUAGAGUAUCGGAGAGGUUGGUGGAAUUCUCGGUGUAGCGGUGAAAUGCGCAGAUAUCAGGAGGAACACCGGUGGCGAAGGCGGGUCUCUGGGCCGAUACUGACGUGAGGAGCGAAAGCGUGGGGGAGCGAACAGG
rnacentral:rRNA from 1 species